rnacentral:rRNA from 1 species
AGGGCACCACCAGGAGUGGAGCCUGCGGCUUAAUUUGACUCAACACGGGAAAACUUACCUGGUCCUGACACUAGAAGGAUUGACAGAUUGAUAGCUCUUCCUUGAUUUGGUGGAUGGUGGUGCAUGGCCGUUCUUAGUUGGUGGAGUGAUUUGUCUGGUUAAUUCCGAUAACGAACGAGACUCUAGCCUAUUAAAUAACACGCAGAAUCUUGUCUUCUGUGGCGUUUCUUAAUGGGAUCAAGUGUGUUUAACGCUUUGAAACAGAGCAAUAACAGGUCUGUGAUGCCCUUAGAUGUUCGGGGCCGCACGCGCGCUACAUUGAGAGACAAAAUGAGUUCUCUAGUCUUUAAUAAGGCUAGUAAUCUUUGAAUGUUUUUCUUAAUGGGGAUAGGGGAUUGCAAUUGUGCCCCUUGAACGAGGAAUUCCCAGUAAGUGCUAGUCAUUAGCUAGUACUGAUUACGUCCCUGCCCUUUGUACACACCGCCCGUCGCUACUACCGAUUGAAUGGUUUAGUGAGAU